CCUACGGGAGGCAGCAGUGAGGAAUAUUGGUCAAUGGACGAGAGUCUGAACCAGCCAAGCAGCGUGAAGGAUGACUGCCCUAUGGGUUGUAAACUUCUUUUAUCUGGGAAUAAAACAGGGUAUGCAUACCCUCUUGUAUGUACCAUAUGAAUAAGGAUCGGCUAACUCCGUGCCAGCAGCCGCGGUAAUACGGAGGAUCCGAGCGGUAUCCGGAUUUAUUGGGUUUAAAGGGAGCGUAGGUGGAUUGUUAAGUCAGUUGUGAAAGUUUGGGGCUCAACCGUAAAAUUGCAGUUGAAACUGGCAGUCUUGAGUACAGUAGAGGUGGGUGGAAUUCGUGGUGUAGCGGUGAAAUGCUUAGAUAUCACGAAGAACUCCGAUGGCGAAGGCAGCUCACUGGACUGCAACUGACACUGAGGCUCGAAAGUGUGGGUAGCAAACAGGAUUAGAUACCCUAGUAGUC
rnacentral:rRNA from 1 species